AUUUCUGGCUAGGCGAUUGGGUGCCGUAGAUCGUGAGUUCGAGGCCCGGUUGAUGUAUAGAACAAAAAACCCCAAAACAGGACUCAGGCCUUUCUGCCCUAUUAGACUUCCCCAGGACAUAAUAUACACUAUGUAUAUAUAUUGUUCUGAAUAAUUCAGAUCCUAUGUAUUUGCAUAUUCAUAAUAAGCGAGAUAUGAUAUUUUUACCUUUUAUUUUCUUGUGAGGCCUAGAAAAAAAAAUGUUGUGUUUCCCCUUUCCCGACCGACCCUAAUUUUAGGCCACCGACCCUAAUUUUUUUUUGUUUCAAAUACUGAAAAUCCGGAAAUUUUCGUAAAUUUAGCCCGUUUUCCUUUUUAUUAUUACACACACCCUAGUCUUAUAAACGCUUGUAUAUGACGGGCACUGGUUUUAAAGCGUAUUGAUGACCUCGAUGUUCAAAAAACAUGGCGGCUUUUUGCACGCCGUCGUCUGUUUUGGCACUGACGAUAAAAAAAUGUAAACACAUGGACGAAAAGCGAAUUAUGACAUCACUGCCGCAUACAACGCUAUGUGGAGAUAUAUUUUAUAGAUAUCACGAAAAAAUUGUAAAAGGUGAUAGUGUUAUAUUGGGGAGGGAGGUUGGACAGUCGACUACCUUUGAGGUUGGACCAGGGCUGUCUGUUGGCGACGGUCUUCAUGGCAAAGCAUUGGUUAGAAUGACCCUCACCUGCGCUAAUCCCAUCGAAGUACCAUUUUACAGUGCAUCUCUUGGACGACUCGAUUUGUGCUACUAUUGUGGUGGUUGUGAUGGGGAGGUUGAUCAGGAAUUAAAGAAACAAUAUAAAACUGUUCUGCCCGUGUGUCUAGAAUGUCUCGAACAUGAACAGCCUCCAUGUUAUCGUCCAUACGGAAAAAAAUCGAAGAGUGGAAACUCUCAAUAAACUGCGUUUAUAAUGACAUGGUUUUACUGUUCUGACUAUUAAUAUGAUGCUCCUAUUUGAGAUUAUCUGAAAAGAGAUAACAAACACUGCAAAUAAAGUUUGAUAUACUUUUAAUAUCAUUUUCAUCUCCCAAUACAUUGCAUUUCAAAAUGAAGUUAGGUAGAAGAAUGAUCAAACACUGAAAUAUAAUGAUAUUGAAAUGAUAUAUACAGCAUAUAUAAAUAUUCAAAUAUGAACAUUUGAUUAUUUAUUUAAAAAAAAAAAAAAAAAAAUCCCUACCUACCUACCCUAAUUUUUUGAGAGACGAAAGGGGAAACACAACAUUUUUUUUCCUUGGCCUGAUACAGAUAUGUAUUGUCUGUAGUGUUACUAUGUACUUCUGUGUAUUUGAUUUAGGUGUGUUUGAUUGUGAAUUUUAUCAUUUACCUGUACUGUAUAAUAAUAUCAUUAGCAUAUUUUUGGGACUUCAAUUUGCGUCGUCUAAUAUUGAUCACUACGGUUCAACAAAUAAAUAUUCAGAAUGAU